rnacentral:rRNA from 1 species
CCUACGGGAGGUACCAGUAGGGAAUUUUUCGGUGGGCGCAGGACCUGACCGAGCGACCGCGUGAGUGAUUAAGGCCUUCGGGGUUGUUAAAGUUUCUGUUGGUAAGGGAAGAAAAAAUCAGUAGAGGGAAAUGAUACUGAUUCUGACGGUACCUUACCAGAAAAAGCCACGGCUUAACUACGUGCCAGCAGCCGCGGUAAUACGUAGGUGGCAAGCGUUAUCCGGAAUUAUUGGGCGUAAAGGGUGCGUAGGCGGUUUAUUAAGUCUAUGGUGAAAGUGCGGGGCCUCAACCCCGUAUGGGCCAUAGAAACUGAUAGACUAGAGUGCAGGAGAGGGCAAUGGAAUUCCAUGUGUAGCGGUAAAAUGCGUAGAUAUAUGGAGGAACACCAGUGGCGAAGGCGGUUGCCUGGCCUGUAACUGACGCUGAAGCACGAAAGCGUGGGGAGCAAAUAGGAUUAGAUACCCUAGUAGUCCACGCCGUAAACGAUGAAUACUAAGUGUUGGAGAAAUUCAGUGCUGCAGUUAACGCAAUAAGUAUUUCCGCCUGGGGGAGUAUGCACGCAAGUGUGAAACUCAAAGGAAUUGACGGGACCCCGCACAAGCGGUGGAUUAUGUUGUUUAAUUCGACGCAACGCGAAGAACCUUACCAGGCCUUGACAUACUCAGGCCAAAACCCUAGAGAUAGGGUGGAGGUUAUCUGGGAUACAGGUGGGUGCAUGGGUUGUCCGUCAGCUCGUGUCGUGAGAUGGUUGGGUUAAGUCCCGCAACGAGCGCAACCCUUGUCUUUAGUUACCAUCAUUCAGUUGGGGACUCUAGAGAAAAGACUGCCGGGUGGGUAAACCGGAGGAAGGUGGGGAUGACGUCAAAAAUCAUCAUGCCCCCUUAUGGCCUGGGGGCUACAAACGUAAAAUUAACAAUGGCGUAUACAAAGGGAUGGGAAAGGGUGACCUGGAGCAAAACUCACAAAGUACGUCUCAGUUCAGUCUGGACUCUGCGCCUCGACUCCAUGAAGGGGGAAUCUCUAGUAAUCGCGGAUCAGCAUG